UCCCUGGUGGUCCAGUGGUUAAGGAUUUGCCUUGCAAGCAGGGAACUCAGGUUCAAUCCCUGGUCAGGGAA
rnacentral:tRNA from 1 species